rnacentral:rRNA from 1 species
GACGAACGCUGGCGGCGUGCUUAACACAUGCAAGUCGAACGAAGGGGCGAACGGGUGAGUAACGCGUAAUCGACCUGCCCUUCAGAGGGGGACAAAAGUUGGAAACGACUGCUAAUACCGCAUACUGAAGGUGGCGAUUUCGUUUGAUAAGCUAGUUGGAGGGGUAACGGCCCACCAGGGCGAUGAUUAGUAGCCGUGCUGAGAGGAGGAACGGCCACAUUGGGACUGAGACACGGCCCAGGCUCCUGCGGGAGGCAGCAGUGGGGAAUCUUGCGCAAUGGACGAAAGUCCGACGGAGCAACGCCGCGUGAGUGAUGACGGCCUUCGGGUUGUAAAGCUCUGUUAAUCGGGACGCGGUACCGGAAUAGAAAGCCACGGCUAACUACGUGCCAGCAGCCGCGGUAAUUC